GUUCCGAUGGCCUAAUGGUUAGAGUGUCCCUCUCGGAUGUGGGAGGCCGUGGGUUCGAUCCCCCGGCUGAGUCA